rnacentral:rRNA from 1 species
CCUAUUCAAUUGAGUAGGAGACCGAAAUGGACGAAAUUCAGGUCCAUUCGUGAGUAACAAGCAGAGGGCAAGUCUGGUGCCAGCAGCCGCGGUAAUUCCAGCUCUGCACGCAUAUGCGAGAUUUGUUGCAUUUAAAAAGCUCGUAGUCGGACGGUUCCACAAUUUUGUCGAUUGGACACUGCAUGUGCUGCAUAAUUUUGUCUACCUAACUAAGGAGGCAACAAAAUUUUUGUUAGUUCACUACAGUGCUCUUAAUAUUGACUAGUUGUGGACAAACGCAAGCUCCUGAUCUGCCCUUAAUUGGGUGUAUCAGCUGUAAGUUUGCGGACGUACCUUGAACAAAUCGGCUUGUUCAAAGUAGGCCUAGUGCCUGGACAUUCUAGCAUGGAAUGUUCGAUCGAGACCUGAUCGUUUGGUCGGAAACGAGUAAGGUCC